UUCCGGUUGAUCCUGCCGGACCCCACUGCUAUCGGGGUGGGACUAAAACAUGCAAGUCGAGCGCCUCCAAGCUAUGGUGAAGGCGCGGCAAACGGCUCAGUAACACGUGGCCAACCUACCCUUGGGACGGAGACAACCCCGGGAAACUGGGGCUAAUCCCCGAUAAGUAAGGAAUCCUGGAAUGGAUCUUUGCUGAAAGGGCGUCUAGACCAUGCUUCUUGACGUCGCCCAAGGAUGGAGCCGCGGCCGAUCAGGUAGUUGGCGAGGCAACGGCUCACCAAGCCUAUAACCGGUACGGGCCGUGAGAGCGGGAGCCCGGAGAUGGGCACUGAGACAAGGGCCCAGGCCCUACGGGGCGCAGCAGUUGCGAAAACUCCGCAAUGCGCGAAAGCGUGACGGGGCUACCCCGAGUGCCGCCCGUUGAGGGCGGCUUUUCCAUGGUGUAAGGAGCCGUGGGAAUAAGGAGAGGGCAAGACUGGUGUCAGCCGCCGCGGUAAUACCAGCUCUCCGAGUGGUGGGGACGAUUAUUGGGCUUAAAGCGUUCGUAGCCGGCUUAACAAGUCUUCCGUUAAAUCCAACGAUCUAAUCGUUGGGCUGCGGGAGAUACUGUUGGGCUAGGAGGCGGGAGAAGCCGACGGUAUUCUCGGGGUAGGGGUGAAAUCCUGUAAUCCCGGGAGGACCACCAGUGGCGAAGGCGGUCGGCUAGAACGCGCUCGACGGUGAGGGACGAAAGCUGGGGGAGCGAACCGGAUUAGAAACCCGGGUAGUCCCAGCUGUAAACGAUGCGGGCUAGGUGUUGGGGUGGCCACGAGCCACUUCAGUGCCGCAUGGAAGCAAUUAAGCCCGCCGCCUGGGGAGUACGGCCGCAAGGCUGAAACUUAAAGGAAUUGGCGGGGGGAGCACCACAAGGCGUGAAGCUUGCGUUUAAUUGGAUUCAACGCGGA
rnacentral:rRNA from 1 species